rnacentral:rRNA from 1 species
AACGAACGCUGGCGGCAGGCCUCAAACAUGCAAGUCUAGGGGGUGCAGCAAUGCAUCACCGGCGGACGGGUGCGUAACGCGUGGGAAUAUACCUUUUGGUUCGGAACAACUGCGGGAAACUGCAGCUAAUACCGAAUGUGCCCUAACGGGGAAGAUUUAUCGCCAAAGGAUUAGCCCGCGUAGGAUUAGCUAGUUGGUGAGGUAAUGGCUCACCAAGGCUCCGAUCCUUAGCUGUUCNGAGAGGGUGACCGGCCACACUGGGACUGAGACACGGCCCAGACUCCUACGGGAGGCAGCAGUGGGGAAUAUUGCGCAAUGGGCGAAAGCCUGACGCAGCGACGCCGCGU